rnacentral:lncRNA from 10 species
GGCGGCGGCGGCGGCGGCGGGACUGGCCCUGCGCCCGGGCACCGCCUGCGCUGCGCCGCCCGGCCUCACUCCGCGGCCCGCCAGGACCCGGCCCCGGUGAACGGGCUCGGGGUGCCGAGGUCCGGCUGCGGGGCCGGGAAGCCACCUCCACCUUGCCGUCUGUUACGACCCCCGAGGCGCAAGGCUGAGCCCCAUCUCGCUAUCCGGGUCCGGAGGGGUUCACCUUAGAAGGAUUUUUUGAAGCUCUUGGCGCUGGCUCUAAAAGAACCCACUUCCUUGCGGAUUUCAGGAGUCAAGAAUCCUUAAACGGAGCCAAUUUGCUUUGUAAAGCCAAUUGCCCAAGUGACUUGAGUUCGAAAGGAGAUACUUCCUGGACAACUGCUAUAAAAACAACAACAAAUACUUUUAUUAAUUCGGGGAGCCUGGUCACCAACUGGAUGCUCAGGGGAGAUGGAACCCUGAGCAGCCCAUGUACAUGGAAGAUCUUUAUUGCAGAGAUCUUCAAACCAGGAUCUUCUAAGGGUGUGAGGAUACAGGCGUCAAAGACCCCGUGCUGAGACAGCUCCAUAACAACAUGCAGAUAUUUGGCAAUGAGGGUUCAGAAGAGGACUUGCUGUGGAGAAGAGAGAAAAGAGAUGGGAAGACUCUGUGAAUGAAUAGAGAACACUCUGCAAGCAUCCCAGUUCCUUUGGUUGCCCUGCAGUCUGCAGGUACCAGGAGAAAUCAAAAGCCGCCUGGAAGGGCUUUCUGUCUGUAUGGAGUCAAGGCAGUGUCUUCAAAUCUGUGCUUUCUAAAACAAAGAAAUAACCUUGAUGAAACAAAUUUUCCCCAGAGGAAGGGGAGAGCCCACAGUGAGCUGGUAAAGAAGAUGCCUGGAGCAGGCAGCAUCCUCAAAUGGAAGGUAAUUGCCCUCAAAUCACUUAACUAGGAUGACCUACUUUGCUUUCCUGUAUAGCCAGGUCUGUUAUCAGACCCUUAUCUUGGGAGGCAUCGUGCCAGAGCCUGGGGCAAGAAAGGGCUGCUAUCCAGGAAUGCAGGUGAAAUUAUAGCUAUUAGCCCUGUCUUAGAGUGUGAGGAAAAUGUGCCCCCCUACCCCUGGCUAAGUUUGGGUUCCCAUGUCAUAAACUGCCUCCCUCUCUGAUAGCUCUGCAUAAACAUCCCAGGAACUCAAAGUAACAUUUGAUUUCCCAAAGAGAACAUUUGCAUUUGUAACUGUCAGAAAUAGGAGAGAUCAUCAAAGCUAAAUGAAUUGGGCUAUAAACAGUUUGAAAUAUGUCUUUAAAUUUUAAAAAACAUAUUUUUUGUUUGUUUUGGGGAGAGAGGAUCAUUUAGACUCAACAACAAAACAGAAAACUGUGAGUGCCAUUUUGAGACAAGACCUACCUGGUCCUUCCCCCUCAUACUUUCUGCUACCCCGUGACCUCCCUCUCUCCUUCCAGUCACAGAUUAUCCGCUUGGUUUUGGAGUUUUAAAUGUGUGGUCCUGAGAGGGAGAGGAGAGCAAGAGAAUCUCAAGAUAGAUUUGGAAGAUUAGGGUAAGACAGUGAGGGUACUAGAAGUGCUUUCCCAAGUGAGUCCCCAGAAGGGAGGGAAAAUAUCCAUGGAGAAGGGGCAGUGUGGUUGGUCCUGGCUAAAGGGCCUGAACAGCAGAGGCUAUUGCAGCCCUGCAUAGCACAGGGCAAUGGAAUAACUUCAUAGGCCCCCAAACUGCAUGGAAGCAGAUAGGGUCUUAGAAGCACGGGGUUGCUUUCCUGGACCUGGUGUGGCUUGGAAGCCACAAAAUGUUUCCUGUGCACCUACAAGAGUGUAAGAAAACCACUGGAUAGGAAAGGACCUUGCAGACUGGAAUGAGUCAUCAUGCAGACCAAAGUCUACCUCAGUGGAUGGCAGUGUGGAUGGAUAGGGACAGAUGUCCGGAUACUGUCUGUCGUGUGCACUCCCACCCCAGCCUUUUGGUAUUCCUGGUACAAAGAUAUAACUCUUAGGAAAAACAGAAACCCUAAAUAGGCUGAGAUUAAGUUUCUUUCACCUGGAAGAAUGAAGACUAUGGUAGAUUUUGAGUUAUAAAACUCAAAUUUUUGCAUUUCUUGAACACCUAAGUCUAUGGACUGAUAUUAGCACCAGCUGCAGAAAUAAGCACAGUUCUCACCACUUUUCAAUUUGAAUGCAGAAGGAGCCUUGUCUGGCCAUAGCUCUGCCCUCUACAGUGGAAAACAUAACUUUAGUGGAAUUUAGAGAUCUUUGAGUAAAGACAGAAGAAUAGCAAAGUCUGUUAUUUACCACCUCACUUUUUUUGUACAAAUAUUUGAAAGCAUUUUCGCAUUAUACAAUACAAUUUGUUUCUAUUUUGAGGCAAACACAUCUGUUAGAGGAAUUAUUGCAUUUCUUCCCCCUAGAAAGCUGUCUCCUUAAUCUUUCCACAAAGUCUUGAGAAUGUUAGCUUCUUUUUCUACAUUGUUGGAAAUCACAGCGUGGUGUUCCUCCUGACGGCACUCCCACCUUCAUCAUUCUGUGCUUACAGUUUCACCACAUUCCAUUGUUCUAAUGAGGUGACUGAGUGGAAGCUGAGGUUAGAAGAUAAAACUUAGAACAGGAGCAGCCCUUGGCUCCUUUCCCUUGGAGGGUGCUUCAAAAGAGGUGAAGUUUUCAAAGAUAGAACUUCAGGGAGAGGGUUUUGUGUUCCGGCUUCGAAGUGGCAAUUCUUUCCUGAGUUGUCACCUGGACUAUCUUACCAUAUUUCCUGGUUGAAUGAUUCCUCUAAAUCUUAUCUUAGCCUGGCCAAAUAUCCCUGGUCCCUUUGAUAUCUAAGUUUUCUGGCCAAGAAGCAAAUUCCUGUAGUUCCAAAUCAGUAGCUCAAGUUCCUGGGUCAGACUACCCGCAGGCCCUCAAGUUGCUGUCUGGUUGUCGUCUAAAAAGUUGAUGUCACAGGCCAGUUGAUAUCAAAGAGUCCUGGGUUUAAAAACUGACUCAGGACUUCUAAUUGUAAGGCCUUACACAAGUUAUGUGACAAUUCUUAACCUAAGUUUCCUCAGCUAUAAAGUGGGGAUUAUAGCAAUAUCCCACAAUACCUCUGACAAUGAAAUAAUGUGUAUAUAUUGCUUGGCACCGGAUAUGGUUUGGAUCUGUAUCCCCAUCCAAAUCUCAUGUUGAAAUGUAAUCUGUUAUGUUGGAGGUGGGACCUGGUGGGAGGUGAUUGAAUCAUGGGGGUGGUUUCUAAUGGUUUAUCACUGUCUCCCUAGAGCUGUUCUCAUGAUAGAGUUCUCGUGAGAUCUGGUUGUCUAAAAGUGUGUGGCACCUCCCCACCCCACUUUUCCUCCUGCUCCAGCAAUGUUCAAUGUGCCUGCUUCCUGUUCACCUUCUGCCAUGAUUGUAAGUUUCCUGAGGCCUCCCCUGCCAUGCCUCCUGUACAGCCUGUGGAACUAUGAGCCAAUUAAACCUCUUUUCUUUAUAAAUUGCCCAGCCUCAGGUAUUCUUUAUAGCAGUACAAGAACCAAUACAGCACCUAAUAGGCAUUCAACAAAUAGUAAUUCCCUGCUCCUUCUGCCUAAGCAGACAUGCAUGGGUUUGUGUAUCUAAACUGUAGGACUUUACAAAGACUAAAAUGGAAUUUUUUGAGGCA